GGACUCGUAUGUGAUCUGGCUGAGACAUCUGUAAUCCUGUGGUUGCCUGGUUUCACUCAGAGGAUCUGCAUGGCUAGCUAGGUGGGUGAGCCCUUCCUCCCUCGAUGCUCUGCUCCAUGUACAUCCUUCCUGAAGCUGAACUGUCCACUAAAGAGGAGGGUCUUCCCUGAUAGAAUAAGAUCAUUUUUACAUUUGCAAAGCACGACUUUCUGUUAAUUACAUAGCACCUAUUUUUCUUCUUUUGACUGGAGCUGAGAUGGGAUU
rnacentral:sRNA from 1 species